CGUAAUGCCAUUAAUUUGGUGUUGCGGGAAAUUUGGACUGUUACUUUGAAAAAAUUAGAGUGUUUAAAGCAAGCUAACGCUUGAAUACAUUAGCAUGGAAUAAUGAAAUAGGACGUUCGAUCUUAUUUUGUUGGUUUCUAGGAUUGACGUGAUGAUUAAUAGGGAUAGUUGGGGGCAUUAGUAUUCAAUUGUCAGAGGUGAAAUUCUUGGAUUUAUUGAAGACUAACUACUGCGAAGGCAUUUGCCAAGGAUGUUUUUAUUAAUCAAGAACGAAAGUUAGGGGAUCGAAGACGAUCAGAUACCGUCGUAGUCUUAACCAUAAACUAUGCCGACUAGGGAUCGGAUGAUGUUAAUUUUUUAAUGACUCAUUCGGCGCCUUACGGGAAACCAAAGUGUUUGGGUUCCGGGGGGAGUAUGGUCGCAAGGCUGAAACUUAAGGGAAUUGACGGAAGGGCACCACCAGGGGUGGAGCCUGCG
rnacentral:rRNA from 1 species